rnacentral:lncRNA from 1 species
AGGAAACCAUUUGUGUUUAUUGAUCCAUAUAUGUUCUGUCAUUAAGAGACCGUUAAUCAUUUGACUCAGGAAUAUCUGUUUAAGGCAGGACAAAAGACCAAACAACAGGAAGGAGUUUGCAUUUUCCAAAUGAAAAUAUUUCUAUAAAGUUUAGAAAAUGGAGAAGAAACAGACUAGAACUAAAAUCUUCACCUGAAAUGAAGAGACUAUAAGCUUCUGAAGGGCAGAGAAUAUCUCUGUAUCCCUUAGGGAAUAUUGGUUUGUAUCCUCAGUGCUUAUAGAUAGUAGAAUGACUCUAUCUACCUAUGAAGUCCUCACUGUCGUCAUCAUCGUGAGAAAAAGCCCUUUGAAAGGAACAUAAUAUUUUAAACCUCUUCAUCCUUCCCUGAAAUAUCUUUUACUUCGAAAGAGAUACAUAAAAUAUUUAAGCCUAGAAAAUCUAGCCUAACAAUGCCAUUCUACCGAAGACGACGAUGACGCCCAGUGACCUAAGUCUCACACUGAUUCACUAACAAAACUGAGACAAGUUGGAGAAUAUUCCAAAGAAGAUAUAUAAAUGGCCAAUAAGCACAGGAUAAGAAGCCCAACAUCAUCAGCCUUUAGGGAAAUGUCAAUGAGAACCACAAUGAGAUACAACCUCACACCCAUGAAGAUGGCAACAGUCAAAAAGACAAUAACAAGUGCUGAAUCUAAAACUGAACGGGGACCUUGUGAACAUUCUAGUUUUUGUCUGUUGGAAGAAGAGUUAUAUGGGGAUGUGAAAGACCAGGAGACCCAGAAUCCUGACAGACCUAUCAGAGAGGCAGAGUAGUCCUAUGACAGAGGCAGCCACAGAAGCUCAUGCCCACAUGCCUGUCCCUCUAUCUGGAGACGGCAUACUCACCAUAACAAGAGUCUGUGACUGAGCAGGAGGCAGCGAAGUCUAUCUGUAGGAAGGAAUCCUCAUUCACGGCAACGUCUGUGCUGACCACGUAA